rnacentral:rRNA from 1 species
CCUACGGGAGGCAGCAGUGGGGAAUUUUGCGCAAUGGGCGAAAGCCUGACGCAGCGACGCCGCGUGAGGGAUGAAGGUCUUCGUGAUCGUAAACCUCUGUCAGGAAGGAUUAAAUGGAUGAAUGUUAAUACCAUUUGUACUUGACUUAACU